CGCCUGUGAGUAAGUGUGCUUCGAUACUAAAAUUCUGGCAAAUUUUACAGGAAAAGUUUUGUCUGAAUGAAGAUUUAAUUCAUUUGAAGGGUUCUAUUUUAAGGGCAGAAUGUCUUCCUACCGCUUGUUCCGGACAACCUGAAACUUAAUGGAUUACAGGCUAGGCUUGGGUAAAUUAUGCGGCAUAAUUUCGAGCAUAAUAGGGCUUCAGAAGCAUAAUAGACACUUAAGCCCCGUUAACACGAGCAAUUUUUAUGUGACAAUUUUGAUGUGACAAUUUUUAUUUGCUCGUGUAGACGAGGAAAAUUGGGCAAUUUUUGUGUGGCAAAUACAUUUGCUGAAAAGCUA